GUGGGGAAUAUUCCGCAAUGGACGAAAGUCUGACGGAGCAACGCCGCGUGAGUGAUGAAGGUUUUCGGACUGUAAAGCUCUGUUGUUUAGGACGAAAGUGCCUGUUGCAAAUAGUUACAGGUAUUGACGGUACUGAACGAGGAAGCCACGGCUAACUACGUGCCAGCAGCCGCGGUAAUACGUAGGUGGCAAGCGUUGUCCGGAAUUAUUGGGCGUAAAGAGCAUGUAGGCGGAGAUUUAAGUCUGUUGUGAAAAUGCGGGGCUCAACCCCGUAUUGCGAUGGAAACUGAAUUUCUUGAGUGCAGGAGAGGAAAGGGGAAUUCCCAGUGUAGCGGUGAAAUGCGUAGAUAUUGGGAGGAACACCAGUGGCGAAGGCGCCUUUCUGGACUGUGUCUGACGCUGAGAUGCGAAAGCCAGGGUAGCGAACGGGAUUAGAAACCCCGGUAGUCC
rnacentral:rRNA from 1 species